UACGAAGGGAGCUAGCGUUGUUCGGAAUCACUGGGCGUAAAGCGCACGUAGGCGGAUGUGUCAGUCAGGGGUGAAAUCCCGGGGCUCAACCCCGGAACUGCCUCUGAAACUGCAGUGCUAGAAUCUUGGAGAGGCGAGUGGAAUUCCGGGUGUAGAGGCGAAAUUCGUAGAUAUUCGGAAGAACACCAGUGGCGAAGGCGGCUCGCUGGACAAGUAUUGACGCUGAGGUACGAAAGCGUGGGGAGCAAACAGG
rnacentral:rRNA from 1 species